GACGUAGGGCGCGAGCGUUGUCCGGAUUUAUUGGGCGUAAAGAGCUCGUAGGCGGUUUGUCGCGUCUGCUGUGAAAUUUCGGGGCUCAACCCCGAACUUGCAGUGGGUACGGGCAGACUAGAGUGUGGUAGGGGGAGACUGGAAUUCCUGGUGUAGCGGUGAAAUGCGCAGAUAUCAGGAGGAACACCGAUGGCGAAGGCAGGUCUCUGGGCCAUAACUGACGCUGAGAAGCGAAAGCAUGGGGAGCGAACAGG
rnacentral:rRNA from 1 species